UGUGAAAAGAGCAUUUUGGCCUCAACUUCUGAUUUGAAGCUUGGAACCAAAAACAUCUGCUCAGGGUCCAGAAGCGUGACCAGGUGGUCACACAAAGGAGCAGACAGGAUCAGGUGCAGACAGGCAGACUCAGUGGUAGAGGGUAGCAGAGACAGGACGUGGAACCAGAACUUGAGCAGGACCUUUAAACUGGUCUCCUCCCUAAAGCCAGGCUUAAUGGGAAAAAAACUGACCCUCCCUGAAGAGAAUACAAACCAAAGGAAACAGGUGAGAGGAAUAAAUGAUGCGGCAGGGAGGGAAAACGGCAGGUGAAAGGAAUAACCAAUUAAGGGAGAGCAAACAGGCCAGAUGAUUAUCUAUUUUAUUGCUACCUUUUCAGAUUAACCAGAGUCCUGGUUUCUAUCAUGCGGUCUCCUCUCUUCAGCCUGGGAAGUAAAACGACUUUGAGCUAAAGUUGAAUUUGGACUAUAUAUGUGUUUAUCUGUGGACCAUUAUUCCUUAUCCAGUAUAAUUGGAUUUUAAAUUAUUAAAUGCCUCAAACUGUUGGAAGCAUCUUAAGUUCUUUGGAAGAGAACCUGGCCCACUGUCUAAUUAACCCCCACCUUACCUACCAGUGUGGGCUACAUGUGGGUCAUUUUCAAAUUUUCAUAGAGUGUUGUAAACAGUUAGUCCCUUCAAAACAAAGUGCAGGGUUCCUGUUAAAGUUCCAGCAGAAUUUAGCAAAUUACCUUCAUAAUUAUAAGGACGGACAUUGUUUUUCCUGGCAGCAAUUAAUAUCAGCUGGUUGACAUGUACAUGAAUAAACAAUUAUGGAGACUUGAUGACCAAAAAUAUAUUUUUUAUGAAUGUUCAGGCUUGAUAAGAUAUUUGUUUAAAUCUCUUUACAUUCUGCUCUCUCUUUGAGUGGAGGGAAGAUGAAGGUGGGGUCAUUUCCCAGCCUUUUAGGCUUUUCCUGAUUCAGUCACUGGUCUUACAUAAAUUAAGUGUUUUCUUGUCUUUCUCAUUUUGGGUAGUGAUGAAAAGAGGCAGGUCUGUGUGUUUGCUCACAUCUACAGUAGACUUCAGUAAAGCAAAAGUCAUCUAUAAAACAGAUUAUAGAUACUUGAAUCCUCUAAAAAAGUUACGUUUUUGUUUAAACUAAAUUUCAAUUUCAUUUGAACAAAUUGUUGCAGCUGAGGUGAGUUGAUACAUGGGAGAUUUCUAAAAAUUGGUAGAACACACUCAGACCCGCCCCUAAGUGUCUUCACUUUGAACUUUGAUUUUCUAAAUUUGUGUGGGAGCUUUACAUCAGGUUUAGUUACACUUUAAGUACUAUUGCACAUCUUUAGCAGGGGUACCUGUGGUCUGUGUGAGUUCUUAUGUGAACCAUGAAAUGUUCUUUUUCAAGAAAGUUUACUCCAAAUGUCAGACAUGUGAAAGGUGGUUCUAAAGCGUUCAUAUAAAGUUAUAUGGGAGUGUUCAUGAUUACAGUUUUACCAUAUUAGUUUGAUACUGUAAUAAUUUUCUGUGCAGUGAUUAAAUUUGAGGUUUACUUUCCCCUUGAAGCCUUCCUGUGCCUCUUUCUCUAUAUUCCUUCCUUCUUCCUCAUCUCCAUCCCUACUCUUUUUUUUUCUGUCCUACAUCUGCCAGGUUUUUGCGCUGCUCGAAAGAGUCACAACAUUGACGAGCGUGAGUCAGUUAGCGGCGAAGAGCCACAAGUCCCUCAGCCCCAAACCCACAUAGCAGCGAGAACCAAACCUCGAGUGCUUUUAAACACCCUGCCUUAUGUAGUUGCUGUCCAGUGCUUAGCAGAGCCAAAGCACCUGAAUACCCCCUCCUCUGUCCUAUCCAUUACAGAAGUGAUUCUUUCAGCAGGACGUGAGCUCCUGAGACAUUUCGACAAUCAUUUAAAGUAUAGAGAUUUUUUUGAAUGGAACAAGAAGACGUCCAUGCUCAUUUCCAGACAGCUCUGGUUAAUGAGCCUGGUCACAGAAAUAGGAAAGUGUGGGAGGAUGAGCCAUUGUUCCUCAAAGACAUCACUUCUGCUAAUGGAACAGCUCCCUGUUUUGAAGGAAACCAUUUAUGCAAAUGGUCAUGAAGGCAACACCUGGUGCUCAUCUCAUUCUGUGCAAAGAAGCAUCUGAAUAGAUUUUCUUUUGUCUUUUUGUUCUCUCGUUGAGAGAUUAAAAGCAAAUCUGCAGCAGCAAUGGAUGGCUUUGUUUGGCUGCAUCAUGCCCAGGCAGAGGCAUUCAUGGCCAUGCUACCAUACCUGCCCACGUUUGUGCUUUAUGCUGAGAGAAUAUAUUUUGUUUUGCUUUUCUCCCCACUGUAGCAGAAUUAAAAGCUCACUGUGACCUGUUUAUAUCCAUCAGGUGCCUGAAUGGACCAAAUGCAGCAGCCGGGAGAAAAGGAAGGAGAAGAAAGUUGAGAAGCCGUUCUACUCCGACUCUGAUGGCGAGUCUGGGCCAACAGAGUCAGCUGAUAGUGAGUCAGACUCUGGCAGCGGCUCAGAGAGCGGCAGUGAGGAGAGCAGGUCGGGUUCAGAGAGCGAAGAGAGCGAUGAAGCCUCUAUGUCUGAGGAGGAAGAGGAGGAGGAUGAGGAGGAAAAGAAACCUAAGAAGAGAGAGUUAAAGAAACCAAUGCAUGAGAGUGAAAGUGAGCAGAGCAGCGAAGAGGAAGACAGGAAGCGUGAGAGGAAGGGUAAACAGCGGCAGAGCGAAUCCGAGUCUGAAUCAGAAGAACAAGAGGAGAGUGAAUCUGAGAGCAGCCAGUCAGAGUCUGAAUCUGACUCUGAAUCUGAGGCAGAAGUCAAAAAGAAGA